rnacentral:rRNA from 1 species
UACGAAGGGUGCAAGCGUUACUCGGAAUUACUGGGCGUAAAGCGUGCGUAGGCGGUUUGUUAAGUCCGUUGUGAAAGCCCGGGGCUCAACCUCGGAUCGGCCGUGGCGACUCGUGGGCUGGAGCACUGUAGAGGCGGGUGGAAUUCCGGGUGUAGCGGUGGAAUGCGUAGAGAUCCGGAAGAACACCAGUGGCGAAGGCGGCCCGCUGGGCAGUGGCUGACGCUGAGGCGCGACAGCGUGGGGAGCAAACAGG